GUGCUCACUUUGGCAGCACAUACACUAAAAUCGGAAUGAUACAGAGAUCAGCAUGGCCCCUGUGGAAGGAUGACACACAAAUUCGUGAAGUACUCCAUAUGUUU
ensembl:snRNA U6 U6 spliceosomal RNA